ACGCACGCUGGCGGCAGGCCUAACACCUGCAAGUCGCGCGAGGACUUCGGUCCUAGCGGCGGACGGGUGAGUAACGCGUGGGAACGUGCCCUUUGCUUCGGAAUAGCCCUGGGAAACUGGGAGUAAUACCGGAUGAGCCCUUUGGGGGAAAGAUUUAUCGGCGAAGGAUCGGCCCGCGUUGGAUUAGGUAGUUGGUGGGGUAAUGGCCUACCAAGCCGACGAUCCAUAGCUGGUUUGAGAGGAUGAUCAGCCACACUGGGACUGAGACACGGCCCAGACUCCUACGGGAGGCAGCAGUGGGGAAUCUUAGACAAUGGGGGAAACCCUGAUCUAGCCAUGCCGCGUGAGCGAUGAAGGCCUUAGGGUUGUAAAGCUCUUUCAGCUGGGAAGAUAAUGACGGUACCAGCAGAAGAAGCCCCGGCUAACUCCGUG
rnacentral:rRNA from 1 species